rnacentral:ncRNA from 1 species
GGUAAAAGGCAAACCCGUCGAAAGGCGGGGACGCAAAGCUAAGUGUCUACGCGGAAAUGCUCCGUAGGAUCGACUGG